AUUGAACGCUGGCGGCAGGCCUAACACAUGCAAGUCGAACGAGUGGCGGACGGGUGAGUAAUGUCUGGGAAACUGCCCGAUGGAGGGGGAUAACUACUGGAAAGGUUAGCUAAUACCGCAUACCAUCGGAGCGGCCCAGAUGGGAUUAGCUAGUAGGUGGGGUAACGGCUCACCGAGGCGACGAUCCCUAGCGGGUCUGAGAGGAUGACCAGCCACACUGGGACUGAGCCACGGCCCAGACUCCUACGGGCGGCAGCAGUGGGGAAUAUUGGACAAUGGGCGCAAGCCUGAUGCAGCCAUGCCGCGUUUAUGAAGAAGGCCUUCGGGUUGUAAAGUACUUUCAGCGGGGAGGCGUUACCCGCAGAAUAAGCACCGGCUAACUUCGUGCCAGCAGCCGCGGUAAUAC
rnacentral:rRNA from 1 species